CGAAAGCUUAUAUAUAAACCCUUUGAAGAAAGUUUCAACCUUUAUUCAUUUUACAUGAAACCCUUAUCGAAAGUUUUAAACUUUAUGUCGAUAACUGUGUCUUUAGGUUCAACAAGCUAAAGUCAUCCGCAAUAAGCAGAGUGGAUACUCCGAAGGCUACGGCUUUAUUGAGUUUGUGAGCCACGCUGCAGCCGAGAGGAUUCUCCAGACUUACAACGGUGCUCUAAUGCCCAGCAGUGAGCAGACCUUCAAGCUGAACUGGGCUGGUGAGAGGCGCCAGUCCGAAGGGCCUGAGCACACUGUUUUCGUUGGAGACUUGGCGCCUGAUGUUACUGACUACAUGCUUACCGAGACGUUUAAGAAUGUGUAUUCAUCUGUCAAGGGAGCUAAGGUUGUGGUUGAUAGGACUACGGGACGGUCCAAGGGGUACGGGUUUGUUAGAUUUGGGGAUGAGAGUGAGCAGAUAAGGGCUAUGACAGAGAUGAAUGGUCAGUAUUGCUCGUCUAGGCCUAUGCGUACUGGUCCGGCUGCUAACAAGAAGCCUCUUACAAUGCAGCAACCUGGUAUGUUUUUUGUUAACCGUGUUUUUUCUGAUACUUGUGAAAAAUAUGUUGAGUGGACUUGCGUUGUCUUUUAACUGUCUAUGUUAGUUAAUUGUCUCUUCUGUGGGGUGUAUUAUUCUAUUGGUUUUGAAGAACUCUUUUCCUUCCGCUUGUUGCCUUUCCGCACAUUUAAAUGUCACAAAAAAGCAUCAUAAAGCUUAUAAGAGAAAAACUCAUGUUGUCUUAAAGCAGGAGAACAAGGGGCCUGGAACUGACUUCAGCUGAAAAUGAUACCACCUUAUUGGCUGGCCUCAUUUAGGUCAGUUGGUUUUGUUUUCAGAAGAAAGUUAAAUUACCAGCAGCUUUUUAUUUAGCUUUCCAGUUCCUUAUCAAUCAUACGUCGCCCUACCUUUAAGUUUUUUUCGUUUUUCAUAUUAUACUUCUCUUCCAGUUUGGAAUCUUUAAAGAGUUUUUGUAGUCUUUUUUCAUAUCUCUCAGUUUAUCUUCUUCAGUAGUUAGUGUUGCAAUUUUUUUCCUUCUUUCAGUUACCAUUCUCUUAAUUUAUGCUAUAGUAUCAACUCUUUGUAUCAUAGUACCAAUUCUUUGCAAGUUGGAUGCAACUCUGAUUGGUACUAUGGUAAAGACUAAAGAGUGUCAGACCUCGAGUAUUUUGGUGUCAUUCUCUAAUUUCUCAAAGUUGAAUCCAACUUUUGCCUGGAACGCCCUUAAUGCUUUGUCUAUUAUCUACUAACUUCAGAAUCUCUUUACCUAAAUCUUCAUGUUGUAUCAUUUAUGCCACUAUCUUUUAUCUGUUAGACAUUUUUUGGAUCUUGAUUUGGAUAAAUGUUGGAACUCUUGUCGUUUGUGCAUGUUUGCUUUGGAAUAUAGAAGUUUGAGUUUUCUCCCCUAAUGUCUCUUGUCUGUUAUUUGCAGGUGGAUAUCAGAACCCUCAAGGAAAUGCCGGAGAAAGUGAUUUAACUAACACAACAGUGAGUACUUUGUUUUGUUUUGGUUUCGUCAAGUCUGUUCUAUGUAGGGUGUAUUGUGUGAAUUUAAGCGUCAUUUUCCCUUUACCAGAUAUUUGUUGGAGCGUUGGAUGAAAGUGUGACAGAAGAUGUUUUGAAGUCAGUUUUUGGUCAGUUUGGUGAACUUGUUCAUGUUAAAAUACCAGCUGGAAAACGUUGCGGAUUUGUUCAAUAUGCUAAUAGGUAGUGUAACCGUGAAGAUGAACUUCCUCUUUAUUUUUGAGAAUGUGUGUUCACAUUUCUUUUCUAUCUAUGUGUGUGCUUCAGGGCAUGUGCAGAGCAAGGACUCAACGCCUUGAAUGGAACACAACUUGGCGGACAAAGCAUUCGUCUUUCAUGGGGUCGCACUACUUCCAACAAGCAGGUUUGUAUCCGUUACACAAUGCAACAAGUUUACUGUUCUGUAGUCUGUUAUCUGAUGACUUCACCAUGUUCACAGACUCAGCCUGAUCAAGCACAGUACGGUGGUGGUGGUGGAUACUAUGGGUAUCCUCCUCAGGGAUACGAAGGUUACGGAUAUGCGCCUCCUCCUCAGGACCCUAACGCCUACUAUGGUGGCUACCCUGGUACCGGCUAUGGAAACUACCAGCAGCCUGGUGGUGGCUACCAGCAGCAACAGCAGGUACUUUUUUCCUUAAACUCCCGAGGUUUUAAGCAAAUUGAAAAAAAAAGUAUAUCCAUCAUGGUUUAAGACUCGUAUAGAGAGAUUACUGAUUGGUCUUCCGUCUGUUUGUUCUUCCCUAUUGCAGUGAAGCAUGAUGUUAAUGUCGUGGUCGAGCUGAAGUACUAGAAAGCUGUCUGUGAUGGUGAAUGAAUGAUUGAAGUCGACGUGCAUUAGCUAAUAUUCUCUCUACAACUCUUCUUUUCUUUUCCUUUGUUUUCUCUCGCGUGACAAUUGUUGAGUGCCCUCCUUGAAGUCGUAUACGAAAGAGGCUUUAGCUGAAAUGCUUUUUGUUUGUCAUUUGACUAUUACAUUUCUCUUUGUUGUUUCAGUACUUUUCUUUUGCAUCCCUAAUUCAACAGAUUCUAAAAGGCCACAAUAUCACUUAUGGUCACGAAAUCUAACAUUUUAGUUCUGAUAAAUCCUUUAAGAACGCAAAUGUCAUAGUUAAACAUUUAGGAAUCUACUGUUCACGCUUUUUACAAAGCUUUUAAGAUUACUCUCCAGAUGGGUGACCAAAGAAAUGAGUGGAAAAGAUUACAAUUAUUCUUUGACAAAUUAGAAGAGGAAUAGAUUUUUUUUUAUUCCAUUUCAUUCAUUUUUUCCUAUUCCUUUUGUGGUUACCACCAGUUAGAGCCUUAAUGCUAAUGACACCAUGCACUUUCUCAUUUCUCUUUUCUUUUGAACAAAACACUUUCUCUUUUGAACAAAACACUUUCCUACGAAGCAAAUUAAAAAUACUGGAAAAUAUAUUAUUAUUCGAUCUGUGCCCGUACCUAGCUAAAACACAAAAGAAUCAUACUCCUUCCGUUUCUAAAUAACUGUCCCUUGAUAUUUUUCACACAGAUUAAGUAAAUGGCCGAUAUAUAUGUUAGUUGUUAUUAAUUAUACUUCUCUGACUAAUAAUAUUUUAAAUAAAUAAAAUUAUUUAUAAAAUCAAUGCAGUUUUCAAUUAAUUUUUAGUUGAAAGUAAAUAUAUUUGCAUUAAAAUUGUAAAGUGAUAUUUUUUUUGUAAAAAAAAAAAAGUAAAAAUGACAUUUAUUUUGAAUAGAAAGAGUAUAAGAUAGUUAAUAUAAUGAGCCUAGUUUCCACAAAACCGGCCCAACAGAAAACCAAAAAUAUCUAAACGGAGUGACACCAUUUAGAUUGGCCCACGGCCAUGUGAGGCCCAAAUAACAAGAUAUUUUGCUUUUCUUUUGAUUCUAUAAAAACGUAACCGAGACAGCUUUUGACCUUGUCCGAGAGAUAACCCUCACAAACUCCAUCUCCUCCGCUUGUCUCGUCUCUUCGCGUCAUGAUGCAGCAGCCACCUCCAGCCGCUAACGGUGCCGCCGCCGCAGGGCCAGGAGAUCAGCAAGCUUACCACCACCACCAGCAAUCCUGGAUGAUGCAGCCCCACCAAGCUCAGCCACCAGCAGGAUGGAAUCCCCAAUCAGCGCCGUCUCUAGGUCAACCACAACAAUACAGCGGUGGAUCUCAAACUCCAGGAUCAGGCGACGAGAUCCGAUCCUUGUGGAUCGGAGACUUGCAGCCGUGGAUGGACGAGAGCUACCUCGUCAACAGCUUCUCCAUCACCGGAGAGGUAACACGAAAGCUUAUAUAUAAACCCUUUGAAGAAAGUUUCAACCUUUAUUCAUUUUACAUGAAACCCUUAUCGAAAGUUUUAAACUUUAUGUCGAUAACUGUGUCUUUAGGUUCAACAAGCUAAAGUCAUCCGCAAUAAGCAGAGUGGAUACUCCGAAGGCUACGGCUUUAUUGAGUUUGUGAGCCACGCUGCAGCCGAGAGGAUUCUCCAGACUUACAACGGUGCUCUAAUGCCCAGCAGUGAGCAGACCUUCAAGCUGAACUGGGCUGGUGAGAGGCGCCAGUCCGAAGGGCCUGAGCACACUGUUUUCGUUGGAGACUUGGCGCCUGAUGUUACUGACUACAUGCUUACCGAGACGUUUAAGAAUGUGUAUUCAUCUGUCAAGGGAGCUAAGGUUGUGGUUGAUAGGACUACGGGACGGUCCAAGGGGUACGGGUUUGUUAGAUUUGGGGAUGAGAGUGAGCAGAUAAGGGCUAUGACAGAGAUGAAUGGUCAGUAUUGCUCGUCUAGGCCUAUGCGUACUGGUCCGGCUGCUAACAAGAAGCCUCUUACAAUGCAGCAACCUGGUAUGUUUUUUGUUAACCGUGUUUUUUCUGAUACUUGUGAAAAAUAUGUUGAGUGGACUUGCGUUGUCUUUUAACUGUCUAUGUUAGUUAAUUGUCUCUUCUGUGGGGUGUAUUAUUCUAUUGGUUUUGAAGAACUCUUUUCCUUCCGCUUGUUGCCUUUCCGCACAUUUAAAUGUCACAAAAAAGCAUCAUAAAGCUUAUAAGAGAAAAACUCAUGUUGUCUUAAAGCAGGAGAACAAGGGGCCUGGAACUGACUUCAGCUGAAAAUGAUACCACCUUAUUGGCUGGCCUCAUUUAGGUCAGUUGGUUUUGUUUUCAGAAGAAAGUUAAAUUACCAGCAGCUUUUUAUUUAGCUUUCCAGUUCCUUAUCAAUCAUACGUCGCCCUACCUUUAAGUUUUUUUCGUUUUUCAUAUUAUACUUCUCUUCCAGUUUGGAAUCUUUAAAGAGUUUUUGUAGUCUUUUUUCAUAUCUCUCAGUUUAUCUUCUUCAGUAGUUAGUGUUGCAAUUUUUUUCCUUCUUUCAGUUACCAUUCUCUUAAUUUAUGCUAUAGUAUCAACUCUUUGUAUCAUAGUACCAAUUCUUUGCAAGUUGGAUGCAACUCUGAUUGGUACUAUGGUAAAGACUAAAGAGUGUCAGACCUCGAGUAUUUUGGUGUCAUUCUCUAAUUUCUCAAAGUUGAAUCCAACUUUUGCCUGGAACGCCCUUAAUGCUUUGUCUAUUAUCUACUAACUUCAGAAUCUCUUUACCUAAAUCUUCAUGUUGUAUCAUUUAUGCCACUAUCUUUUAUCUGUUAGACAUUUUUUGGAUCUUGAUUUGGAUAAAUGUUGGAACUCUUGUCGUUUGUGCAUGUUUGCUUUGGAAUAUAGAAGUUUGAGUUUUCUCCCCUAAUGUCUCUUGUCUGUUAUUUGCAGGUGGAUAUCAGAACCCUCAAGGAAAUGCCGGAGAAAGUGAUUUAACUAACACAACAGUGAGUACUUUGUUUUGUUUUGGUUUCGUCAAGUCUGUUCUAUGUAGGGUGUAUUGUGUGAAUUUAAGCGUCAUUUUCCCUUUACCAGAUAUUUGUUGGAGCGUUGGAUGAAAGUGUGACAGAAGAUGUUUUGAAGUCAGUUUUUGGUCAGUUUGGUGAACUUGUUCAUGUUAAAAUACCAGCUGGAAAACGUUGCGGAUUUGUUCAAUAUGCUAAUAGGUAGUGUAACCGUGAAGAUGAACUUCCUCUUUAUUUUUGAGAAUGUGUGUUCACAUUUCUUUUCUAUCUAUGUGUGUGCUUCAGGGCAUGUGCAGAGCAAGGACUCAACGCCUUGAAUGGAACACAACUUGGCGGACAAAGCAUUCGUCUUUCAUGGGGUCGCACUACUUCCAACAAGCAGGUUUGUAUCCGUUACACAAUGCAACAAGUUUACUGUUCUGUAGUCUGUUAUCUGAUGACUUCACCAUGUUCACAGACUCAGCCUGAUCAAGCACAGUACGGUGGUGGUGGUGGAUACUAUGGGUAUCCUCCUCAGGGAUACGAAGGUUACGGAUAUGCGCCUCCUCCUCAGGACCCUAACGCCUACUAUGGUGGCUACCCUGGUACCGGCUAUGGAAACUACCAGCAGCCUGGUGGUGGCUACCAGCAGCAACAGCAGGUACUUUUUUCCUUAAACUCCCGAGGUUUUAAGCAAAUUGAAAAAAAAAGUAUAUCCAUCAUGGUUUAAGACUCGUAUAGAGAGAUUACUGAUUGGUCUUCCGUCUGUUUGUUCUUCCCUAUUGCAGUGAAGCAUGAUGUUAAUGUCGUGGUCGAGCUGAAGUACUAGAAAGCUGUCUGUGAUGGUGAAUGAAUGAUUGAAGUCGACGUGCAUUAGCUAAUAUUCUCUCUACAACUCUUCUUUUCUUUUCCUUUGUUUUCUCUCGCGUGACAAUUGUUGAGUGCCCUCCUUGAAGUCGUAUACGAAAGAGGCUUUAGCUGAAAUGCUUUUUGUUUGUCAUUUGACUAUUACAUUUCUCUUUGUUGUUUCAGUACUUUUCUUUUGCAUCCCUAAUUCAACAGAUUCUAAAAGGCCACAAUAUCACUUAUGGUCACGAAAUCUAACAUUUUAGUUCUGAUAAAUCCUUUAAGAACGCAAAUGUCAUAGUUAAACAUUUAGGAAUCUACUGUUCACGCUUUUUACAAAGCUUUUAAGAUUACUCUCCAGAUGGGUGACCAAAGAAAUGAGUGGAAAAGAUUACAAUUAUUCUUUGACAAAUUAGAAGAGGAAUAGAUUUUUUUUUAUUCCAUUUCAUUCAUUUUUUCCUAUUCCUUUUGUGGUUACCACCAGUUAGAGCCUUAAUGCUAAUGACACCAUGCACUUUCUCAUUUCUCUUUUCUUUUGAACAAAACACUUUCUCUUUUGAACAAAACACUUUCCGAAGAUGGAUGAUUAAGCUGUCGGCCAUAGUUGAUUCAUAUGAAUAUCAAUCAACUAUUAAAGUGAGUAAAUCCAUUUUUGGUGAGAAAACGCUAUGUAUGAAAACCAUUUUUGAUAAUAAAUAAUAUUUUAGCAGAAAUAAAUAAUGUUAUAAUGGAAUGAAGUGUGUCUGUGAACAACUCUUGUCUGAAAACGGUUCAGUGUAAACCUGAAAGAACAAAAGUUGCUUUUGAGAUGGAACUGGAAGGUAACAAAACCAAUGAUAUGUAAUGAAGUGUUUCUGUAAACAACUCUUGUCUGAAAACAGUUCAGUGUAACCGAAUAAAAGUUGCUCACAAAAUUUGCUUUAUUUGGAACUAAUGAAACUCUUUUCUUAGAGAAUGAAGAAGACAAAAACGAGAAAAACUUUGAUCACUUGGCGCUCAAGCUCCGGAUAACGUAGGGAAGAAUACCACCAUGGUCAUAGUACGCCAGUUCCACCUGUGCACGUUACAACAAACACAAAACUCUCAUAAGACUUGAAGUUUUGAUUCUAGAGAAAUAGAUUUCUAAACUUGUUUGCUAUAUAGUUUUUUUUUUUUUUGUAAAAAGUUUGCUAUAUAAUUUACCUCUGUAUCAAACCGCAGAGUGCAAACAAAUGAUUUGCCAGUGUCAGUGGUCACAGUAACAUCUUGACCAGGCUUAAUGUCACUGACUUUGGUAGGAAGAUGGACUGUGUAGCGUUCAUGACCAGUCAGUCCAAGGGUGUCUGCAUCCUCACCAGCCUUGAAACACAGAGGAAUGAUUCCCAUACCAGCCAAGUUGCUGCGGUGGAUUCUCUCAAAGCUCUUUGAAAUCACAGCUUUCACUCCCUAGAGUUUUUUGGUAAUUACCUCUCAGUUACCUACCAUACAUGUUUUCAUAGAAUAUAAACUAAAGUUAAAUGUGAAGUACUUACCAAAAGCAAAGGACCCUUUGCAGCCCAAUCUCGAGAGCUACCACUUCCAUAUUCAGCACCAGCCAAGAUAACCGUGUCCUGUCCAGCGUUCAUGUAUCUCUGAAAAAGAAUAUAUGAUAUGAGUCAACAGUUAAGGAAAGAUACUGUGUGAUGAUUCUACUUGUACUUGUACUUACACUUGCUGCAUCAAAAACGCUAAGUUUUUCACCAGUGGGAACAUGAACAGUCUUGGGACCAACUUCUCCUUUCAAGAGCUUGUUAACAAGACGGAUGUUAGCAAAGGUGCCACGAGCCAUCACUUCAUCGUUUCCCCUACGACUUCCGUACGAGUUGAAGUCAGUUUGACUCACACCACGGUCCAUCAAAAACUUUGCAGCUGGACUAGUCUUCUGAAUGUUUCCUGCUGGAGAGAUGUGAUCCGUUGUCACACUGUCUCCGAAGUUUAGUAAGCAGUAGGCAUCUUUCACUUCACGAGGACCAGGUGGAUCUGCUGUCAUGUUCUUGAAAUAAGGAGGUUCGUGAAUGUAGGUGGAGUUUGAAUCCCAAGAGUAAAGUGUUGAACCAGGUGCAGAGAGUUCGUUCCAUAAGGGGUUUCCUUCUGUUAUUGUCUCGUAAGAGCUCUUGAACAUGCUUGGUAGCACGCUAUAUUGAACAACCUAUGCAAAAAGUACCACACAAGUUAGCAAGGAGACAUGUGAAGAGAACAUUGCGAGCAGGGCCGGAUUUGGGCCAAACCUAAUGAAACAUUGGUCUUGGCCCUAAAAAUAGAUUCCCAAAUUAUGAUAAAUAUUUUUAAGAAAUAUUUGUGGUCUCCAAAUUUUCAGAUCCGGUCCUGAUUGCGAGUAUGUGACUAAUGUAUACCUUAGCAACUUCCUCAUUGCUUGGCCAUAUGUCCCUCAGGAACACAUUUUUGCCAUCUUUUCCGGUUCCUAAAGGCUCAGUCUCAAAAUCAAUAUCAACCUAUAAUCACAGGAGACAAACACAAACAUUCAUUUCAAGCUACAAAUCCCAUAGGUCAUGACUGAAAGAUGAGAAAGUACAAACCGUUCCAGCAAGGGCAUAAGCAACAACUAAUGGUGGUGAAGCAAGAUAGUUAGCUCUUGUUUGUGGAUGGACACGUCCUUCAAAGUUUCUGUUACCAGAGAGCACAGCAGCUGGAAUGAUAUCUGUGACACACAAAGUAGCAGAAUAGAAACAUAAUGUUAUAUUUGGGUAAAUAAUAGUAUGUUCAUAUAUACAUGAAGAUGUUUAUUACCAGUUCCUUCUAUAGCAGCUGCAACUGAUUUAUCAAGAUCACCAGAGUUCCCAAUGCAUGUCGUGCAACCGUAUCCCACAAUUUGGAAUCCUUGCUUGUUCAAGUCCUCUCGGAGCCCACUGCAGAGAAGGUAAAGAAUCAGUAUAGAUGUUCCAUGAUCAUAUAAGAUAAUAAUCUAAAUGGAAAUAUCAUUGACUCCAACACACCUUCUAUCCAGAUAUUUCUCGACAACUCUAGACCCUGGAGCAAGACUUGUCUUAACCCAUGGUUUAACCUUCAGGCCAAGAUCAAAGGCUUUCUUUGCAACAAGUGCAGCACCGAUCAUGACACUAGGGUUAGAUGUGUUUGUACAACUAGUGAUUGCCGCAAUAACAACACUACCAUGCUUGAUCUCAGCAGGUUGUCCAUCGUAUGAGAACUUCACAACUUCUCCUUGUUUCUCUUUUGGCACUGCAAAACCCUUGAAGACAAAGAAACAAUAGUCUUACUGAUUAGAGAAAACAAAAGUAACCAAAGUCAUUGUGCGUAUAAUGAUUCAAGUUGCAUCUCACCUUGAAUCCAACAGGAUUGUCAAGGCAUGCAUGCCAGUCAGCCUUCAUAUCUUUCAGAGGCACUCGGUCAUGAGGCCUGUUAAAAAGAAAGAUGGUUCAAAAACCUUAGGAAGGUUAGAGAGAUGGGUCCAGAACGUUCUAAUGAUUAACAAGAAGUGAAUUAAAGUCUCUUACCUUUUAGGACCAGAGAUACAUGGUUCAACAUGUCCCAAAUCCAAUUGCAAAUAAGAUGUGUAUGCUCUUUCUUGUUGAGGCUGCAUUAUUAAUUAUCCACAUAUAUUAGGAAUUGACAAACUUCUCUAAAGAGACAAAAACUAAACUGAUAGAAGAGAUGUCCUUACCUCGUUGUAGUCAACAAACAUAUUGUUUGCGCGCAAGUAUGAUUCUAUCAUUGACACCUAAACAAAACCAAAUUGUUGAUCAAGUGAAUCACAGAAACUAAGAGGAAACAUGAUAGAUAGAGAGAGAAAAACUCACAGUUUCAUCGCUUCUUCCAGUCAACUUCAGGUACUCUAGUGUAACAUGGUCCACUGGGAAGAAACCCAUUGUUGCACCGUACUCAGGAGACAUGUUUGCAAUUGUGGCUCUAUCAGCUAGUGAUAGUUCACUCAUCCCCUCACCUUCAUAUCAAAAUAAAAACGAUAAAAUAAGUAUAUACUGACUAACUAAUUGUCCACAAAGAAAAAUCAAAGUUCUCACCAUAAAACUCAACAAACUUGCCGACAACACCAUGCUUCCUUAGUAUUUGGGUCACAGUGAGAACUAAAUCAGUAGCUGUGACACCUUCCUUCAACUUUCCAUCCAACUUAAAUCCAACUACGCCAGGUAACACCAUGCUCAUUGGCUGACAAGUUUUGAAAAUACCAUAUCAGUGGAAGAGCAAACUUUAACAUUUAUAUAUGUACACAUGACAACAUAGACCGAAAAUAAACAUUGGAGGUGAAGAGAGGAGAUAAGCUCACCUGACCAAGCAUUGCUGCCUCUGCUUCAAUUCCUCCAACACCCCACCCAGCGACUCCUAAUCCAUCAAUCAUGGUGGUGUGGGAAUCAGUUCCAACAACGCUGUCAGGGUAGAGGAAGCCACCAGAGUUGAAAACAACACGUCCAAGGUAUUCCAAGUUGACCUGAUGUCAAAUAAGGACAAACAGAUUAAACAGACUAAUACUCUAAUCACACUUAUGUUCCACAUAAGAUUAGUAUGAAAGUAUAAUAUUGUACCUGAUGGACAAUCCCAGAACCAGGAGGAACAACCAGCAUGUUCUGGAAGGCAGUUGAACCCCAUUUAAGGAAGGCAAAUCUUUCUUUGUUUCUUUUGAACUCAAGCUCCAUGUUUUUCUGUGCUGCAUCUUCUGAUCUUGCAAAGUCAACUUGGACUGAGUGAUCAACGACAAGAUCAACAGGAACCUAGAUAAGAGCAGGAAAAUUAUGAGAAAGGGCUAGAUUAAACAUAUUACAAU
rnacentral:lncRNA from 1 species